rnacentral:lncRNA from 1 species
CCAGUCACCUCCGAGAGCUGAGUGAGUAGGGGCAGGAAACAGGAAUCCGAUCCUCCUCCCAACCGGACACCACCACCCCCAGCCACACCAGGCUCCACAUGCGCACACCGGGCCUAGAGGAUGUGAGGAAUCCGGCAUCCAAGAUGUUGGAGGUUAGAGAAGACUGGCACGCAGGAAAUCUUUCCCCUGUCCCUUCGGAGCACCAAAUGCCGCCCAAACUCUCCAGAUAACUGUUCCUGCGUCUCUGAGGCGGGAACUGAAGGCCCAGAUUUCCAUCUCCGCAGAGGAAGCCAGUGCCUUGGCCCCACCCAGCCAUUGUGUCAGACCAGGGUUGUGAGUGUUGAGGGUGGUGGGGAAGGGGAUCCCCUGGAUCUGUAGAGUGACUUGCUGCUCACUAUUCUGUGUUCCCAGUUCCUCGGGAGGCCCCAGCUCUCAGUGUUGCACUGGGAAGCUCCC